UUAGGACGAACGAUAGGCAAAUCCGUCGUUCACAUAGUCCGAGAGGUGAUGCAUAGCCGGAUGAGGUGAAUUCGGUGAUCCUAUGCUGCCGAGAAAAGCCUCUAGCGAGGACACACACGGCCCGUACCCCAAACCGACACAGGUGGUCAGGUAGAGAAUACCGAGGCGUACGAGAGAACUAUGGUUAAGGAACUCGGCAAAAUGCCCCCGUAACUUCGGGAGAAGGGGGACCCCCACACCGUCAACACCUUCGCGGUGGGCAGCGGGAGGGGGUGGCACAAACCAGUGAGAAGCGACUGUUUACUAAAAACACAGGUCCGUGCGAAGUCGCAAGACGAGGUAUACGGACUGACGCCUGCCCGGUGCUGGAAGGUUAAGAGGACCCGUUAACCCCUCGGGGUGAAGCGGAGAAUUUAAGCCCCAGUAAACGGCGGUGGUAACUAUAACCAUCCUAAGGUAGCGAAAUUCCUUGUCGGGUAAGUUCCGACCUGCACGAAUGGCGUAACGACUUCUCAGCUGUCUCAACCAUAGACUCGGCGAAAUUGCACUACGAGUAAAGAUGCUCGUUACGCGCGGCAGGACGAAAAGACCCCGGGACCUUCACUACAACUUGGUAUUGGCGUUCGAUACGGUUUGUGUAGGAUAGGUGGGAGACUAUGAAGCAGUCACGCCAGUGAUUGUGGAGUCAUUGUUGAAAUACCACUCUGAACGUAUUGGGCUUCUAACCUCGGACCCUGAACCGGGUCCAGGGACAGUGCCUGGCGGGUAGUUUAACUGGGGCGGUUGCCUCCCAAAAAGUAACGGAGGCGCCCAAAGGUUCCCACAACCUGGACGGCAAUCAGGUGUUGAGUGCAAGUGCACAAGGGAGCUUGACUGUGAGACUGACACGUCAAACAGGGACGAAAGUCGGGACUAGUGAUCCGGCACCCCCGAGUGGAAGGGGUGUCGCUCAACGGAUAAAAGGUACCCCGGGGAUAACAGGCUGAUCUUCCCCAAGAGUCCAUAUCGACGGGAUGGUUUGGCACCUCGAUGUCGGCUCGUCGCAUCCUGGGGCUGGAGCAGGUCCCAAGGGUUGGGCUGUUCGCCCAUUAAAGCGGCACGCGAGCUGGGUUUAGAACGUCGUGAGACAGUUCGGUCUCUAUCCGCCGCGCGCGUCAGAAGCUUGAGGAAACCUGUCCCUAGUACGAGAGGACCGGGACGGACGAACCUCUGGUCCACCAGUUGUCCCACCAGGGGCACCGCUGGAUAGCCACGUUCGGACAGGAUAACCGCUGAAAGCAUCUAAGCGGGAAACCUUCUCCAAGACCAGGCUUCUCACCCAUCAAGUGGGAUAAGGCCCCCCGCAGACUACGGGAUCAAUAGACCAGACCUACACACCAAGCAAUUGGCGCAGGGAACUGGCACUAACCGGCCGAAAACUUAGC
rnacentral:rRNA from 1 species